rnacentral:rRNA from 1 species
UACAGAGGUCUCAAGCGUUGUUCGGAUUCAUUGGGCGUAAAGGGUGCGUAGGUGGCGCCAUAAGCCGGGUGUGAAAUCUCGGGGCUUAACUCCGAAACUGCAUUCGAUACUGUGGUGCUUGAGGACUGGAGAGGAGACUGGAAUUCAUGGUGUAGCAGUGAAAUGCGUAGAGAUCAUGAGGAAGACCAGUGGCGAAGGCGGGUCUCUGGACAGUUCCUGACACUGAGGCACGAAGGCCAGGGGAGCAAACGGG